ACCUGGGUGGCUCAGUCGGUUAAGCACCUGACUUCGACUCAGGUCAUGAUCUCACGGUUCGUGGGUUCCAGCCCUGCUUCAGGCU
rnacentral:tRNA from 1 species